UCCCUUCACACCCGUUCGGCAAACAACAAACAAAUUACCUUUUGAGUUUCCUUUCUACAUUUUCGACCCAAAUAUGUCUCACAGAUCUUUAGGACCUGGACCUGGUGCAUACAUGCUGCCCAGCUGCUUUGGCAAUGAGAAAUGUGACUCCAGGAAGCAGCGUAGCCCUCGGUAUUCCUUUGGCAGCCGUUCUCGUUCCUGUAAUCGUGCAAAUCUUGUGGGACCUGGCCCCGCGGCCUAUCACCAGGGCUCGGUAAAGCGUUACGGAAAGGCCAACAAUCUGGAAUAUGCGUAUUUCCAUAGGCGUGGCAUAGACAACAACAACAACCCAAAAAGUGUUCGCUAGAUUAGCCUAAUCGGCGUGCUAAACUCGAGUGGGCGUAUGUUUUUCGCUAAAGUAACAGGUGAGGAACAGGUGUGUGUUCAGGUCUCAAAGAGGGAAACA